GGCAAUGGGGGAAACCCUGACCGAGCGACACUGCUUGAAGGAUGAAGGUCUUCGGAUCGUAAACUUCUGAACCUGCGAUGAAAAAUGACGGUAGCAGGCUAAUAGCACCGGCUAACUCC
rnacentral:rRNA from 1 species